rnacentral:lncRNA from 1 species
CAAAUAAUCCAAAGAACACAAUGAUUUAUACUGGUUCGGCGUAAGCCUACGUCCAGUUCCGAGACGGCAAGGAAAUUCCACUUAUAUCAAAAGGAGAUUACAAAUAGAGUUUUAACUCUCAAACCCAAAUCCCACAUACAACCAAUAGCUCUCACUCGAACUAAGAAACAAAUGGAGAAGAAGAAACACAUAUCAAAAUCCUUCUCUCCCAAAAGCUACACAAGUAGCACCAACAUCUUUGAUUGAGUGAUUACUAACAAAAUGGGAUUAUUACAAAUGGUGGGAAGGAGCAGCUCAUAUUCAAAUGGGAGAGCCGAAUGCUCUCCCUGGUUUCUCUCAUCUGCCGCUCCCCCCCUUUUCUUCUCUCGGCUUCUCCUCAAACAUAUAGCAGCUGCUGCUGCCUUAGAAAAUACCCAAAGAAAAGCUCUUUUGUCAAGUUGCAAAGGAAGGAGCCGAAUAAACCCAAUUCCAUUUGCCUAUAAAAAAAUCCAAAGUAAAGGAAUAAUCAUUCCUUUACAAACAUCAUCAUGACCUUCCUUUUUCUUUUCAACAAACAUCAUCAUUGUGUUUUUACUCAUGAUGAUGUCCACCAAACUUUUCUUUGUUUAAUAGCCGAAAGGAGAGUUGGCUUGUUGUCCCCUUGGCCACUAAUUUGGCCACUAUCCAACAAUCUCCACCUUGGCCAAAUUUCGAAAACUUCACAGAGAAUCGAAUCAACAAUCACCAUAAGCACCCAAAGUACAAACUAAAGACAACGGGAACUAUAUCAAAUUCCCAAACUCUCGGUACUCAUAAUGAUCUCCACCUCGACUCAAAUUGUACCAAAGCCAACAAAAGUAGACCAUUUCUCUACCGUCUUCUCCAAAUUUGCAAACCAUAAGUGCCUUGAUCAAAACAAAAGUGAUUCAAACGAAGAACUGAAAUUCUUCAAUAUCACCGACAAAAGAUCAAGCACACCAUACCAAAGUUGGACAUACAACGAACUCCACUUGCUCACAAACACCAUGGUCUGAAACUGUACCAAUAGACUCAUUCACAUAGCAUGGCAUAUUCUCCAAGUCAAAACUGAUUACAAAUUUGGCAACAAGGUCUAACAUACCACAUACAAAAAAAUAUGCCCUUCACUCAAGUUUACCAUCAUCACAUGAGCACCAACAGGACAACCAAAAAUUUCAAAUUCAAAUAAUCAGCAGGAGAUCCAAAAUCAUACCUCAACUGGAGUCUUCAAGAAAACUAAUUGCAGAUGAUGGAGACCAACAGACCAAAUAGCAGUGGCAAACAAAUCCAACCAAAUGUCUAUAGACCAAACAAAGUUAGAAAGCAUAUAACUUGCCUUCUACAAGAGGGUUCCACACAAAUGUUAUGCAGUGCAAGUGGUGUAUCCAAAAUAGUGUUAUGUCUCACUAUCCAAACCUUUGCAGAACUCAACAAAUUGGCCCUCACAAACUCCUCCAAUGUUUCCAUCAACUUGCUCCAAAGGCAACUAGUGGGAGUGAAGAAAAACUUCUCUACCGUUGAAAAAAUGCCAAAGAGAAGAAAACUUAGCCUUAGCCUUUUUCCCUUUUCUUUAGCCAACAACAUCAUUUGUCAUCAUGAUGUCCUUCUGCCAAAACAAAUGGCAAAAGAAAAGGAACCAACAUUUUCUUUUCAAUUCUCAACAACUUCUACUUUUUUUUUCCGGAACCAUUCUCCAAUAUGCGAGCUCAGGGACUGCAUUAUGGUCCCUUACCAUCCUUCUUCAACGCCACACAUUUCGCAGCAAUGCAAGCAAAACUUGUAUCUCCAAUUGACCAAAUGCCAAAGUCAUUCCUCCUGUCAAAUUUUUUCAUAUUUCACCGUCAUUCGAAGAUUUCAUAGACAAACUAGUACAAAGCCUCCAAGUCGAAACCCGGAGCUCUGAUACCACUUGUUGUGCGGAAGCGUCAAAUAUGAAACCAAUAAAUUACAACGGCAAAAUAUGACAAGACAAAUAAUCCAAAGAACACAAUGAUUUAUACUGGUUCGGCGUAAGCCUACGUCCAGUUCCGAGACGGCGAGGAGAGGAAAUUCUACUUAUAUCAAAAGGAGAUUACAAAUAGAGUUUUAACUCUCAAACCCAAAUUCCACAUACAACCAAUAGCUCUCACUCAAACUAAGAAACAAAUGGAGAAGAAGAAACACAUAUCAAAAUCCUUCUCUCCCAAAAGCUACACAAGUAGCACCAACACCUUUGAUUGAGUGAUUACUAACAAAAUGGGAUUAUUACAAAUGGUGGGAAGGAGCAGCUCAUAUUCAAAUGGGAGAGCCGAAUGCUCUCCCUGGUUUCUCUCAUCUGCCGCUCCCUCCCUUUUCUUCUCUCGGCUUCUCCUCAAACAUAUAGCAGCUGCUGCUGCCUUAGAAAAUACCAAAAGAAA